ensembl:snRNA U1 U1 spliceosomal RNA
AGGCUGCAGUGGAGACAACAUGAUCAGGCAGGUGGUUUUCGCAGGGCAAGGCUCAUCCCCUACACUAGGGGUGUGCUGACCCCUGUGAUUUCCGCAAAUGCGGGAAACUCAACUGCAUAAUUUGUGGUAGUGGGGGCUGUGUUUGCGCUCUCCCCUG